rnacentral:rRNA from 1 species
UACGUAGGGUGCAAGCGUUAAUCGGAAUUACUGGGCGUAAAGCGUGCGCAGGCGGUGAUGUAAGACAGUUGUGAAAUCCCCGGGCUCAACCUGGGAACUGCAUCUGUGACUGUAUAGCUAGAGUACGGUAGAGGGGGAUGGAAUUCCGCGUGUAGCAGUGAAAUGCGUAGAUAUGCGGAGGAACACCGAUGGCGAAGGCAAUCCCCUGGACCUGUACUGACGCUCAUGCGCGAAAGCGUGGGGAGCAAACAGG